rnacentral:rRNA from 1 species
UCGAGCGGGGGAAGGUAGCUUGCUACCGGACCUAGCGGCGGACGGGUGAGUAAUGCUUAGGAAUCUGCCUAUUAGUGGGGGACAACAUCUCGAAAGGGAUGCUAAUACCGCAUACGUCCUACGGGAGAAAGCAGGGGAUCUUCGGACCUUGCGCUAAUAGAUGAGCCUAAGUCGGAUUAGCUAGUUGGUGGGGUAAAGGCCUACCAAGGCGACGACCUGUAGCGGGUCUGAGAGGAUGAUCCGCCACACUGGGACUGAGACACGGCCCAGACUCCUACGGGAGGCAGCAGUGG